AACCAGAUAUAGCCCAAAACUAUUUCAAAACCACUAGCCUUACAUACUAAAACAAAACAUUUAUAAAAAUAAAAGUAUAGGAGAUAGAAAUUAUAAUUGGCGCUAUAGAUAUAGUACCGCAAGGGAAAAAUGAAAGAAAGCUAUAAGUAAAAAAUAGCAAAGCUUAGCUCUUGUACCUUUUGCAUAAUGAUUCAACUAGAAGAAAUUAGCAAAAAGAAUUUAAGUUAAAUUACCCGAAACCAGACGAGCUACCUACUAGCAGUUUAAUAGAACAAACCCGUCCAUGUAGCAAAAUGGUGGGAAGACUAAUAGGUAGUGGCGACAAACCUACCGAGCCUGGUGAUAGCUGGUUGUCCAGAACAGAAUUUCAGUUCCAAUUUAAAUUUACCAUAAAACCAAUAAAUUUAAAUGUAAAUUUAAAUAAUAGUCUAAAAGGGUACAGCCUUUUAGAUAAAGGAUACAACCUUUAUUAGUGAGAAAAUAAACCAAAUAAACAACCCUAGUUGGCCUAAGAGCAGCCACCAAAAAAGACAGCGUUCAAGCCCGACAGUAAAUAUCAAAACUAAUUCCCACUAUACUAACAAUACUCCUAAUAUAAAACUGGACUAUCCUAUUUCCAAAUAGGAGCAAUAAUGUUGAUAUGAGUAACAAGAAAUAAUUCUCUCCGCACAUGUGUAUAACAGAACGAAUCACUCACUGAUAGUUACCAAAUAGAGUAUAACCAACCAAUGAAACUCUCCUAUAAAUUGUUAGUCCAACACAGGGAUGCGACACAGAGAAAGAUUAAAAGAAGUAAAAGGAACUCGGCAAACAUAAAUCCCGCCUGUUUACCAAAAACAUCACCUCUAGCAUAUAAAGUAUUAGAGGCAAUGCCUGCCCAGUGACUCUAGUUCAACGGCCGCGGUAUCCUGACCGUGCAAAGGUAGCAUAAUCACUUGUUCUUUAAAUAGGGACUCGUAUGAAUGGCUUCACGAGGAUUUUACUGUCUCUUACUUUCAAUCGGUGAAAUUGACAUUUCCGUGAAGAGGCGGAAAUAAACUAAUAAGACGAGAAGACCCUAUGGAGCUUUAAUUAACCAACCCAUAAACAACAAUACACCUCUAGAAGAGACUAAAACCCUUUUAACUGGGUUGACAAUUUAGGUUGGGGUGACCUCGGAAUAAAAAACAACUCCCGAGAAGUUUUAACUAAGACCCACAAGUCAAAGCUAACUCUACAACACAUAUUGACCCGUCAAAGACGAUCAACGAAACAAGUUACCCUAGGGAUAACAGCGCAAUCCUAUUUAAGAGUUCAUAUCGACAAUUAGGGUUUACGACCUCGAUGUUGGAUCAGGACAUCCCAAUGGUGCAGCAGCUAUUAAUGUGUUCGUUUGUUCAACGAUUAAAGUCCUACGUGAUCUGAGUUCAGACCGGAGUAAUCCAGGUCGGUUUCUAUCUAUUUUAAGUCUCUCCCAGUACGAAAGGACAAGAAAGACAAGGCCCACUUAAACCUAAGCGCCUUCACCAAACAUAUGAAUUGAUCUUAAUAUAUUCCUACCCAUAUUAACCCAAGAAAAGGGUUU
rnacentral:rRNA from 1 species